AAUCAUAGCUUUCAUCCAAUCCAUUCUUCAUGAUUCCUUGAUCAAGUCGCUGAGAACUAACUAUCUGAUCUGUUGGACCAAUCAUUCGGACAAUAAUUUCUCAUUCUUAUUAUUUUAAAUCUAUUGAAUUCAUUAAAUAGAAAUUAAUUAUAUUUUUAAUAUCUUAAAUAGGAUUAGCAUAUUUGUCUAGCAAACUUUGAAGGUCUAAGAUGGGCAAGA
rnacentral:lncRNA from 1 species